GUGUGCAUUUUACACAGACUGAAUACAGAAGAGAAGAAAGAUGAGUCUGCAUCAUUCCAACUCUGAUAAAGUGCACGGCCUUCUGAAUUCCUGUCCUCGCUCGUGGAGCCACUUAUUGGAUACUGCAAAGACAUAAAGUCCAAAGGAAAAGCAAGCCAGAGCAACCCCCAACCAAACCCCAGAGCUCCAGAUCGCAAGAAGCGAGAACAAGGUAAGGGACACUCACCCCAUUUGUUUCCAACUAGUACUGGGCAGGCCGCAUGCCGUGUGCUGUAAUCUCCUUCUCCACUUGGGAAGAGAUUGUACCAGAAUACAGCUGUUCCCUGGAAAUUGCAGUGGAAACCCUCAGCGUUUUGCUCUACUUGAUACCAACUUAACGCUAAAGUAAAGGUACGUUCAGAUUUCAAAUACUGCUUUUAAAUUGAAGGUUGUUUUGCACAUUCAAACGCUUGCUUUCCUAUGGAAUGAGUCUCCGUUGACUCACUCUGUGUGUAGGUCCUUGUCUGUUAAUUAUUUUUUUUUAGACCCUAACCCAACUUCAUUCAACUGCAAGCAGUUUUAAAAAAUCGAGGCAAUAUCUAACUAUAAAUGAGCAGCAGCCUCAUUAGCAAAGACCAACUUUAUUCGUGAGCCUUCUGAAGGAAAAGCCAUAGUGGGAACACAGCAUUUCAGGGAGAAUUCCCUGUGAAUGCCCCAAGACUAAUCUACUUACACACCAGUAUAUUUUUUAAAAUUGUUUUGAAGUAUUGUUUUCCUCAAGUGCUUUGCAAAGUCUGUGCAUUAGCAGCAGUUAAGCCCAAAACAUUAACUAUGAGCUAACAUGCAAUAGAUCAGAGGGCCCUGGAAUCACCAGUACUGCUCCAGUAGCUGCACUUGUAAGUACCCCAUGAUUAGCGCUCUAAUCUCUUUUAUAUAAGUCAGUUUAAAGCUUCCUUUUAAAAGUUUGAGUAUACAUCCACUGUAUUAUUGCACAGGUGAGAGGGGAGUGGUUACACUGGAUAAUAAUGGGUAAUAAACCCUUCUUACCUUUUUAGGCCAAACACUGGCUCCUACUUCAGGAAAGACAGUAGCUCCCCCUGCUGACACAUCACUCAUCUGGAAAGGUAGGAACAGGCACAGGUAAGCUGCAAACCACUGCAUUCCCCAAGUGUCCCAUUUUAGUAAAAUAAAAUUAGAUUAUUGAACAACUUAAUUUCUGCCUCCCACAGCAUGAUUAACAGCAUCAUGCUGUUAAUGCCUGAUUAACAGCAUUAAACAGGGCUACCCCCCACACUUGGUUCAAGGUGCAAUAACCACCAGCCUUUUCCCCAAAUGUUACAUGCUCAAAUAUUCUGACAAGGAGCACGCUAUAAAUACUGAUGCAGAUAUGAAAAUGACAGCCCAAUAUUUUAAGCUACUACUGCCCCUUUGAGUGAAAAAACCCUCCUUAAGCACACGUGUAAAAACCAUGACUUAUGGGUAAGAAGAUACCCGUAUGUGUUACCAAUAAGGUACUGGCUGCCUUCAUUUGCAAGUCACUUGAGUAAAAAAAAAAAAAAAAAAAAAAAAAAAAAGUAAUGAAAUCAUUCCACUGUACAGAAUACGCAGCAAUAGAUAUUUUUGGCAAUAGCACAUGACAGAAAUAUAUCACUUACAUAAAACAACCAAGUAGCAAUUCUGUUGCCUGUUCCCAAUUCCUUAAAAGCAUCUGGCUCAUCUUUCUGUGAAUAAAAGCAAGCAUGUUUAAUAAGCACUUCAUUUUGAUUAUCGAGAGGAACCAAUGACAGACAGCUGCAGAGCCAGCAGCAGACAAACUCAUGCAGAAAAAUUAAUUAAAUCCCUGUAUUUGCAGCAAUGGAGGGGGGGAAUAGAAGAUGAGUGUACCUAUUAAUUUAGAUAAACAAGGCAUUUUAAAAUUCUACAGCACAGGGAACUCAAGUCCUAAGCCAAAGUUGGUAAUAGGUAAGAACUGUACUGCCAGAGUAUAUAAAUCUUCACAGCCACAAAGUUAAUUAUUUAAUUACAGUGACUGCUGCCUCUUGUCCUUGGCAGAGAGGAACAGCAGCGAGGGCAGCUCCUGGGUCCCAGGUCCAGCAGCAGCAGCUCCGCACACCCUGAGGGCUGCUGCCCUUGCCCCGGCCCUUUCCCAGGAGCUGCCCCUGCUAGCCGCUGUGGCCAGCAGGCUGCUGCGCACACCCUGGUUUGCAGUUUUCAGUGCCCUCAAAAACCUAACAAGUGAUUCAUUAAGCAGUGCGCUCACCUAGCCACAGUGUCUGUGACAGCCGUUCCUGCCGCUUUGCACCGGAGUAAGGUAUGUGUGCACCUAAACGCACGGGAACAGGCACUGUGGCUGUGAGGCCGCCCACCCAGCACCGUGCUCAGGGGGCAUCACUUGAAUAAAACACCAGAACCCCCACAGGAGGGUUAUGAGACCAGCUUUUGUCACACCUCUGUUUCUUACUUCCAGAGCCCACCUCGUGUGACCACACUUGCGUGUGCUGACAUCUCAGCAAUGGGGCAUUAUUUCAGAAACUGACCCAUGCACUGCCAAACAGCAACUGCUAAUCACUCGUGAUGCCUUUGAGCAUGUGCUUACAGAGCAGAGAUUCUGAUUAAUAGUUGGUGGCUUGGAUUCACAGCGCAAGGUUAAUCUCAAAAGUGUUAAAUCACGAGUAAGUAUGCCCAAUAAAUAACCAACUGAAUUCAGUGCCAUUAUUUCCAGCAGUUUGAGAUUUAAGCUGGAAGAAAAAUAGGUUGGGAAUUUAAGUCAAAUAAAAUGAGGAUUGUACAAUGAGAAGAACUGCAUAAAACCCCUCGCCCUUGCAGGUCUGCAUGGUAAGCUGCGAUGCAAGUUUUCUUACACUGCCUCCAAAACCUUCCUCAUAGGAAGGAGCAUUGAGCUGCUGCCCCUGCAGCCACGUUUGCCUUACUCAGUAACGCCAGCCCUGCAGCCACGGGCACGGCAGCUUCAGUGCAUCGCUGCGUGUUAGCUGCUGUUAGUGCAUCUUGUGCGUGUCAGGAGCAUGGGAUAUACACCACGCACUUACACAGUUUGACUGUAUAGCCUGCAGUGGUUUGAAACAACUGGGCUUUCCACUGCCAGCUAACAGUUCUAAACGUUACUCCAGUUUUAGAAUCCAACAAAUGCCCUUUGCUCCGGUAACAACAGCUCUUUUUAAAUUUCAUUCUGCAGAAAACCUUGUUGCUCCAUAACACCUGUAAUGUUUCUCAGUUCAGCUGGUGGUUUAGAGGGCUUCUCCACUAACAUGGAUUAGAGAAGUUGAAGAGCUAUAAAAUUUAAUACACAUUAAAGAUUAAAUAUUGUGCCACAGCCAAUAGGCCCAGGCUUCGCCAGGUGACUAUCUCUCCUCCAUCUCUUUACUUGCCCGUGCAAAGUCAAAGUGGGGUUCAUACUGUCCUCCCACUCCAUAAUUUGCCACCUGAAAAAGAGAAACACAGUGCUUAUGAAGAAGAAAGAGGUGGAGACUUUAAACAGGACUUACCCUUCCGAAAUCAAAAUGAGGCUCAUACUGGCCUCCUACUCCGUAGUUGGCUACCU